AGCCUAGAGAGGAAUUAUUCUAGGUGAAGCCUGCCCGGUGGUUUAGCUUAACGGCCGCGGUACUUUGACCGUGCUAAGGUAGCGUAAUCAGUUGACUUUUAAAUGAAGUCUUGUAUGAAUGGAUUUAUGGGAUUAAGCUGUCUCUUCCUUACUCUAUUGAAGUUACUAACUAGGUGAAAAGGCCUAGAAAUGAAAAAAGACGAGAAGACCCUUAGAGUUUUUAUGACGAUUUUUGUUGGGGCGACAAGAAGACAUCUAUAACUCUUCUAAUACAAGAAAAACUUGCCGGUUUUUUCAAGUAUGGAUAAACUACCUGAGGGAUAACAGCAUAAUCCAUUAAUGGGUUUGUGACCUCGAUGUUGGACUAGGAAACUUAUGUCCUAGCAGGAUGUAUAGUUAGGUUCUGUUCGAACUUUUUCUCCU
rnacentral:rRNA from 1 species